rnacentral:rRNA from 1 species
GACGUAGGGCGCGAGCGUUGUCCGGAUUUAUUGGGCGUAAAGAGCUCGUAGGCGGUUUGUCGCGUCUGCUGUGAAAACCUAAGGCUCAACCCCGGGCCUGCAGCCGAUACGGGCAAGCUAGAAUUCGGUAGGGGAGACUGGAAUUCCUGGUGUAGCGGUGAAAUGCGCAGAUAUCAGGAGGAACACCGGUGGCGAAGGCGGGUCUCUGGGCCGAUAUUGACGCUGAGGAGCGAAAGCGUGGGGAGCGAACAGG